AUUGAACGCUGGCGGCAGGCUUAACACAUGCAAGUCGAGCGGAGUGAUGGUGCUUGCACUAUCACUUAGCGGCGGACGGGUGAGUAAUGCUUAGGAAUCUGCCUAUUAGUGGGGGACAACAUCUCGAAAGGGAUGCUAAUACCGCAUACGUCCUACGGGAGAAAGCAGGGGAUCACUUGUGACCUUGCGCUAAUAGAUGAGCCUAAGUCGGAUUAGCUAGUUGGUGGGGUAAAGGCCUACCAAGGCGACGAUCUGUAGCGGGUCUGAGAGGAUGAUCCGCCACACUGGGACUGAGACACGGCCCAGACUCCUACGGGAGGCAGCAGUGGGGAAUAUUGGACAAUGGGGGAACCCUGAUCCAGCCAUGCCGCGUGUGUGAAGAAGGCCUUAUGGUUGUAAAGCACUUUAAGCGAGGAGGAGGCUCUUUUGGUUAAUACCCAAGAUGAGUGGACGUUACUCGCAGCAUAAGCACCGGCUAACUCUGUGCCAGCAGCCGCCGUAA
rnacentral:rRNA from 1 species